rnacentral:rRNA from 1 species
GACGGAGGGGGCUAGCGUUGUUCGGAAUUACUGGGCGUAAAGAGCGCGUAGGCGGCUCAGCAAGUUGGAAGUGAAAUCCCAAGGCUCAACCUUGGAACUGCUUUCAAAACUGCUGAGCUAGAGUAUGGUAGGGGGUGAUGGAAUUCCUAGUGUAGAGGUGAAAUUGUUAGAUAUUAGGAGGAAUACCGGUGGCGAAGGCGAUCACCUGGGCCAUAACUGACGCUGAGGCGCGAAAGCGUGGGGAGCAAACAGG